rnacentral:rRNA from 1 species
GAUGAACGCUGGCGGCGUGCCUAAUACAUGCAAGUCGAGCGAACGGACGAGAAGCUUGCUUCUCUGAUGUUAGCGGCGGACGGGUGAGUAACACGUGGAUAACCUACCUAUAAGACUGGGAUAACUUCGGGAAACCGGAGCUAAUACCGGAUAAUAUUUUGAACCGCAUGGUUCAAAAGUGAAAGACGGUCUUGCUGUCACUUAUAGAUGGAUCCGCGCUGCAUUAGCUAGUUGGUAAGGUAACGGCUUACCAAGGCAACGAUGCAUAGCCGACCUGAGAGGGUGAUCGGCCACCCUGGAACUGAGACACGGUCCAGACUCCUACGGGAGGCCGCAGUAGGGAAUCUUCCGCAAAGGGCGAAAGCCUGACGGAGCAACGCCGCGUGAGUUAUGAAGGUCUUCGGAUCGUAAAACUCUGUUAUUAGGGAAGAACAUAUGUGUAAGUAACUGUGCACAUCUUGACGGUACCUAAUCAGAAAGCCACGGCUAACUACGUG